GUGGACUACUAGGGUUUCUAAUCCUGUUUGCUCCCCACGCUUUCGUGCAUGAGCGUCAGUACAGGUCCAGGGGAUUGCCUUCGCCAUCGGUGUUCCUCCGCAUAUCUACGCAUUUCACUGCUACACGCGGAAUUCCAUCCCCCUCUACCGUACUCCAGCCUUACAGUCCCAAAUGCCAUUCCCAGGUUGAGCCCGGGGCUUUCACAUCUGGCUUAUAAAACCGCCUGCGCACGCUUUACGCCCAGUAAUUCCGAUUAACGCUCGCACCCUACGUAUUACCGCGGCGGCUGGCACAA
rnacentral:misc_RNA from 1 species